rnacentral:rRNA from 1 species
GAUGAACGCUAGCUACAGGCUUAACACAUGCAAGUCGAGGGACCGGCGCACGGGUGAGUAACACGUAUCCAACCUGCCCUUUCCUCGGGGAUAGCCUUUCGACAGAAAGAUUAAUACUCGAUAUAAAGGAUUGGGAUGCGUUGCAUUAGGUUGUUGGUGAGGUAACGGCCCACCAAGCCUUCGAUGGAUAGGCGUUCUGAGAGGAAGGUCCCCCACAUUGGAACUGAGACACGGUCCAGACUCCUACGGGAGGCAGCAGUGGGGAAUAUUGGGCAAUGGGCGGUAGCCUGAACCAGCCAAGUAGCGUGAAGGAUGAAGGCUUAGGGUUGUAAAGUACUUUCAGUCGGGAGGCGGUACCGACAGAAGAAGCACCGGCUAACUCCGUGCCAGCAGCCGCGGUAAUUC